GUUAGGUCUAGGGCAAAAAUAGACAUAAAACAAUUUAGACAUUUAAAGCAUCAAAACCAACAACAUGUAUGAUCUAUACCAGGGGUGUCCAAACCUGCUCCUGGAGAGCUACCAUCCUGCAGAUUUCAGGUCCAACUCCAAUCAAACACACCUGAACCAGCUAAUCAGGAUGUUCAGGGUUCCUUGAUAAUUACAGCAGGUGUGUUGGAGCAGGGUUGGGACUGAAGUCUGUAAGACGGUAACUCUCCAGGAGCAGGGUUGGACACCCCUGAUCUACCCUAUGGAUCAGGGAUGGGCAGCUUUGGUCCUGGAGGACCUGCAGAGUUAACUUUUAUCUCUAUUUAAAUACAUGUGCCUGUAAUUUUCAAGCAGUCCUCAAGAAUAAGGGUUAAAUUUUGGGGUUGGGUUAAAUUUUGCAGGUGUAUUUGAUAAAGGAUGGAGCUAAACUCUCCAGGACCAGAGUUGCCCAUCCCGUCUAUAGAUCUUAUACUCAAUACACCAGUGGUUUUCAAACCUGGUCCAAAGGGACCCACCACUGCACAUUUCCUGUAUUUUUUACAUCUGGUGAAGAUCAUCAGCUUGUUAGAGGAGAGCUGGCAUUGAUAGAGAAAUUUGCAGACUACUAUUCCUGUUCACCAAUAAGGCGAGAACCAGAACUGUUAUAAACGUAAAUAUACUUGAAUUAAUUAAGUUAAUUUAAAAGUGAACUAUUCUAUUAGUAAUAGUAGAUAUUUGUCGUUGUAAUGAUGUCAGACAUAGCACACACAAAAGUAGUAGCUGUUCUGUACUGCGGCACGGUUAGCGAUCUCACUACAGCCGUACAGAGCCUAAUCUCUUCAAGCGGGCCAGGGCAUGGUACGGAGCAAUCACACUAGCCAAACAAACUAGACUUUGAGGGUCAAAAGUGCUCACACGUUUUCGAUCGCCUAGUGCGAGUACACCCUUAAUUUCGGUUUCAAGACACAUUUUGAGAAUAAUUUAGGACACAACACUUUCCCGCCAUUGACAGAAUUUUCCUGGUAUAUGGUAGGGGUGCUUUUACUUAUCUGAAUCAGUACAAAACCUCCAGAUCAAAACACAGAAGAAGCAGCAGGAAGAAGCGAUAAAAGCUUUGAUCAAGUACAUGCAAACUAAUGCAAUCAUCUGUAUUACUUUUCUUGACAUAUUGCAUGUUCAGCUAUUCAUACAACAAAAUCUUCUGGGGUCAUUAAAGUUUUGUAAAAAUAAUCAAAAAUGCUGGUGAUGGCUGGCAACUUAAAAAAAUAAUAACAAUUAAAGAAUUAAUGCUUAUGAGAUGUGCUUUCCUCAGCACAAAACUUACAUUUUACAGUUAUACUGUUACUUGUAAAUGUCCAAUACUAGCAGAAUCUGUCUAGUACUUUACAUGUAACUCUCUAAGCUCUUGAUUGCUUGAAAUCUGCUACGGAGCCGACCUGUAGUCAGUUUUUUAUAAAAAACUAAUAAAGGACUAUUUUAAAGGCUUGAAUAUGUGCCACACUUAUUGCUGCCAGCUGCCAUCAUGACCAUGAACAAUAAUUAAUCAGCUCCCAUGAUUACACAUACAACCUCAACAUGAUCUAAAUCAGGGGUUUUCAGUAGGGAUGCACCAAUACCAGUAUCAGUAUCGGGUCUGAUACCAAGCUCAUAUACUUGCACAUGUACUCAUAAAAAUACCCCCAAUACCAAAGACUGAUACCUCACGUGACGUAACUGAUAGAAUUUUCCGAUGGCAGCGACAAAAAUAAUGUCAGCCUCAGAGGUGUAGAAAUACUUCAGAAAGAAUGAUGAUGGAAGGGGGCGCUGGAGAGCAGCACAUGGAGUAGGACACGUUCUCACUUAGCUCCGUCACACUUGUCGAAAUGAAUCAUUUAAAACUUUGUUGCUCUUGAUCACUCAACAUAAUUAACACGCUGAUGAUGUCUAAAAUCUAAAAAAGACUGUCAAAAAGGCUGUCAAAAAGGCUCGUCCUCGUCAGCCAACACAGUGAAAGGCACUCUAGCAAGUUUAUCAAAAGAGAAUGCGUCUCUGAAGUCCAAGGUAACGGAUUUAGAGGCCAGAUCUCAUUGACAAAUUAUGAAGAUAGCUGGUUUUUCUGAGAACAUCGAGAAGGGCAACCCCACACAAUUUGUCUCUGACCUUUUGCCUUCACUAUCCGGAGAAGCCAUAUCAGUGAGUAAGGUGAAGCUGCAGGCCCGGAGAUCCAACUGCACACUCAGACCUGCACGCUCAGACCUGCACUCCCAGAACUAUCGCUUUUUCAGACAGUGCCACCUGCUGUUCGGAUGAAUUUUUUUUUUUUUUGUAGCGUGUGUAACCGUAAUAAUUUCCAACAUUAUAAACUGCUAGCAAGUAGCAACAUCGGACAAGUGAGUAAGGUUAUUAAUUUUAUUAAAGUGAUUCCUGAAAAUUACCAGGUUUUAUGGCAUAAAUCAAUGUGACACCUUAUUACACCAACAAACGAAUAGACUGUUUUAGUAUAUAAUGUUAGUUUAGAUGGAUAGUUCGACCAAAUAAGCCGUGAAUUGUGUUCUGCCCAGUUAUUUUCAAAUGCGUGGUGCGUAACCUAUUAUUGCUAGCUUAGUCAGUGUUUCCGUGUGUCUCAAUCAGCUCCCUAGUUCAGUAGUCAGGGCACUGAUCAGGGUAUCAGCCACAUUCACUUUCAUUAUACUGAUUCACGACCUAUGGAACUAGGGAGCUGAUUGAGACACAGGGUUUGAUUUGAUCAAAAUUAGUGUCGAAAGGUAGCAUUUUUUUAUAAUAUUUACAGCCUGCUCUUAUUUUCUGUGUUAUUGUACCAUUCUGGGAUGCUUAAUAUGUUUUCUAACAAAAUAAAAAACGUUAAAGUAAAAAUGUUAAAAUAAAAUGUAUAAUAUAUAAUACAAUUAUUAUGUGUAACUUAUUUUAGUACUAUGUAGGUCUACUGUACGUAUAGCUGUAUUAACUACUAUUAUUUCAUACUAAUUACUACAUUUACUAUUAGUAGUUGUAGUAUGUGUAGGAAAAAUAAUAUUGCACGUUCUUUUUAUUGUACUUUACAAAUCUCAAAGUGCUACCAUAGACAAUAACAGUGUAACAAUUAGAAAAGUUCUGUAAUAAUUACAAAUACGAUCUUUGGAGUAUGCAGCCUCGAGUUUAUUUUCAUCAAAAUAUCAAGUAAUCUGCGUAGAACUGUUGGGUUGUCUAAAUAAUUUGUGUGUGACUUGUGUGUAUUUUUUCUCAGAUGGAUAUUACAAUUCAAAAAGGGGGGGUCUCUGCCAGAUCUAAAACAGUGCACCAAAUGCUGCAGUCAUUUUCACUGUCCUUUUUAUGAUGCCUCUGUUUUUCAACCAACACGGCUGGAAAAAGUGCAAACUCAUCUGCAGGCACAUUUUAAUAGAUCGGUCAGCAUGAAGGAGGCUGAAGAGAUGUUCCUCCAGGGCCCCACUUAUCACUCAAGUGAAGUUGAGGAAUUUGUCCGAAGAGUUGCUUGAGAAAUGAAAAAUCUCCCCAUCAAGAAUGUAAAGCAUUUAUUAGGGGCCAAGCCCCGAAGGGGCUGUAGCCCCUAUUGUAAUUGUACGUUUUCCCUUUUAUUAUUAUUAUUCUUCCUCCCGAAUGGGAGUCUAUGGCAGCCCUAUCAACGGA